rnacentral:rRNA from 1 species
GACGAACGCUGGCGGCGCGCCUAACACAUGCAAGUCGAGCGGAUGCGGAACGGGUGAGUAACGCGUAGGAACCUGCCUCUCACAACGGGAUAGCCUCGGGAAACCGGGAUUAAUACCGUAUAGUGAGAGAUGGCCUCGCGUCUGAUUAGCUAGUUGGUGGGGUAAAGGCCUACCCAGGCGACGAUCAGUAGCGGGUCUGAGAGGACGAUCCGCAACACUGGGACGGAGACACGGCCCAGACUCCUACGGGAGGCAGCAGUGGGGAAUUUUGGACAAGGGGUGCAACCCUGAUCCAGCCAUGCCGCGUGUAUGAAGAAGGCCUGCGGGUUGUAAAGUACUUUUGUUAGGGAAGCGGUACCUAAAGAAUAAGCACCGGCUAACUACGUGCCAGCAGCCGCGGUAAUUC